GGGGGGAGCACAGGAUCCUGGGCUCUGUCCCCCAGCGCCCUGGGCUCUGGGGCCUACACUGCUGGAAUUGCGCCCCUGGGCCGUACAGCCCCCU
rnacentral:pre_miRNA from 1 species